rnacentral:lncRNA from 1 species
UUCCGUGUUGCUCCAGUGUUCUGUGUUCUCCCAGCUCCUAGCCACCCGCAUCGUCUUCUGUAAGGACGGGGAGGAGGUUUCGUCCCAGAGGGGCUUGGAGGAUAAGAUCACCUAUGACUAUGUCCAUGUGGUGUCCAUGGGCAGCUCUGGGAAUUACUCCUGUGGGUAUGAGAUCAAGGACAGCGACAACCGGGUGAAUGGAUCCCUGCUCAGCCCUGCCCAGCACCUCAGUGUCACCGGCAGCGCGAGCAGCAGCGGAGGAGGGGAGGAGCCAACCCGCACAGGGCCGGCCAUGUCCCUCUCCAUCUGGGCUGCCCGCUGUGCCCUGGUCCUGCUUCUUCUGGUGUCUGCGCCCGUCAUCACCUUCAUGAUGGAGAAACGGGGCCUGACCCAACCUGCACAGGUGGAGGAGACUCGUGGUCGGAGCGCCAGCAUUUUGCGGGAGGAGGCAAAGGGAGAUCCCCACUGACCAGCUGUGAGCAGGAGGGAGGGUGGGGAGGGGUCUGGGUUGUUUGUCCAAUAAAAGAUAUUACCUCCCCUACCUUGGUUCA